rnacentral:rRNA from 1 species
CUCCGGGAAACCGGGGCUAAUACCGGAUGGUUGUUUGAACCGCAUGGUUCAGACAUAAAAGGUGGCUUCGGCUACCACUUACAGAUGGACCCGCGGCGCAUUAGCUAGUUGGUGAGGUAACGGCUCACCAAGGCGACGAUGCGUAGCCGACCUGAGAGGGUGAUCGGCCACACUGGGACUGAGACACGGCCCAGACUCCUACGGGAGGCAGCAGUAGGGAAUCUUCCGCAAUGGACGAAAGUCUGACGGAGCAACGCCGCGUGAGUGAUGAAGGUUUUCGGAUCGUAAAGCUCUGUUGUUAGGGAAGAACAAGUGCCGUUCAAAUAGGGCGGCACCUUGACGGUACCUAACCAGAAAGCCACGGCUAACUACGUGCCAGCAGCCGCGGUAAUACGUAGGUGGCAAGCGUUGUCCGGAAUUAUUGGGCGUAAAGGGCUCGCAGGCGGUUUCUUAAGUCUGAUGUGAAAGCCCCCGGCUCAACCGGGGAGGGUCAUUGGAAACUGGGGAACUUGAGUGCAGAAGAGGAGAGUGGAAUUCCACGUGUAGCGGUGAAAUGCGUAGAGAUGUGGAGGAACACCAGUGGCGAAGGCGACUUUCUGGUCUGUAACUGACGCUGAGGAGCGAAAGCGUGGGGAGCGAACAGGAUUAGAUACCCUGGUAGUCCACGCCGUAAACGAUGAGUGCUAAGUGUUAGGGGGUUUCCGCCCCUUAGUGCUGCAGCUAACGCAUUAAGCACUCCGCCUGGGGAGUACGGUCGCAAGACUGAAACUCAAAGGAAUUGACGGGGGCCCGCACAAGCGGUGGAGCAUGUGGUUUAAUUCGAAGCAACGCGAAGAACCUUACCAGGUCUUGACAUCCUCUGACAAUCCUAGAGAUAGGACGUCCCCUUCGGGGGCAGAGUGACAGGUGGUGCAUGGUUGUCGUCAGCUCGUGUCGUGAGAUGUUGGGUUAAGUCCCGCAACGAGCGCAACCCUUGAUCUUAGUUGCCAGCAUUCAGUUGGGCACUCUAAGGUGACUGCCGGUGACAAACCGGAGGAAGGUGGGGAUGACGUCAAAUCAUCAUGCCCCUUAUGACCUGGGCUACACACGUGCUACAAUGGACAGAACAAAGGGCAGCGAAACCGCGAGGUUAAGCCAAUCCC